ACACAGAUGAUUCAUUUACACAUUUAUUUUCUAUCCUGUAUAUUCUACCAGACUGAAAUGGAGAACAAUUAAUUUCAUAGACAUUUGACAUAAAUUAAACAAGUAUUUUGAUGUUGAACAAUUGUACAGACAUGCAUAUAAAUAUGCUGACUAGUGCAGAAAUAUUUAGCUGAUCAGCAAAAUCUAUUAAUACGAAACCACAUUUCUUUGUUGUGAAGUUAAAAUGCAGCAGAUAAUGGAGACAUUGAUACAGAUAUCAUUAAAUGUAAUAGAGAAUUGUUACACUAAAGGUGUAUGACAGACAGCUGAACAAACAUUUAUAUAUGAAACUGGGUCAUCUAUUGCAAAACGAAAUCAAACUUUUUAAAGCAAAUAUAAUAAUAAUAAGAAAGCAUGUUGAGGCAGAUGAAUGAAAUUAGACAAGACUUACCAUUUAUUCAUAUGCUUUAUCUUCUAUUGACAGCUUGUAUUAAAAUAUUUCUAUAUAGCUAUUUAUUAUGAAAUGAUAAUGUAGUGAUAUUGAUGGUAGUGAAACCAUGACUACCCAAUCAACUGAGAAACCUUGGGAAAAAAUACUAUUUGUGCUUUUUUGGUAUUUCCCUGCAACAUUUCAGAAAAUUCUCAGAAAAAAAAAAUCCAAAUGCUGCAAAAUAAUUAAACUGAACAAAAUGAUAUACAGUCCAUGCUAGUGCACUUAUGCAUCUAAGAGUAUAACUUAACAACAUGAAGACUGAAUAUUGUCUUAGUUGAUCCUUAAACUGCUUUUAUGUCUGUGUAUUCUAUCCCUAAGAUUUUUGUUUUUGUUGUUGCAUGGGUUUCAAGAGGCAGUUUAGAAUAGAGGCUAGCUUGCUGGCCUUGGAGUCAGGAAAACCUGGAUUCUAGGCCUGUUGCUGAUAAAUACUGGUUGUGAACCAUUAGCAAGUCUCAACCUCUCAGUGUCUCAUGCAUCGCUCUUAGAUUAGAUGUUAUAGUUAAGAAAUAGCUCUGCUUCUGUGGAAAAAUCCUACGUCAAAAAUAUCACAGAUCUAAACUUCGCCCCCCCAAAAAUGCUUUAAAUCUGUUAAGACUUGAGUGACUUAGUAGAAGUUACAUGUCUAGAAUUUUGUAUCACUUUCCUUUCUGAAUAUAUCUAUUUCAUUAGGAAAUUAACCGUGAUUAGCCCCAAAGGAUUUUUACUUGAGUUAGUUACUGUAAUUUCUAAACAACUUCAUCAUUAUUUUGUGAUUUCCUAGAAAGUGUUUCUGUCUGAACCUAAUAUAGAGCUCAAUUUCUAAGAAUUGGUUAUGGAGUUUUAAAAUUUAGAAAAUUCAUUUUCUAAUACCCAAAGAAUAUAGUCGAGAAAUAGAACAAUCAUUCAGAUAUUUUAGGUCCUCUCAAAACAAAUUUUGUUGAAAAUAUUGAAAUGAGACCAAGGUUUUUCUUUUAUUUAAUCAUUUGAAUUAUGUCUUUAAGGUUUUGCUUUUCCUUAAUCAUCCAUAAUGCUAUCUUUGUUUGAUUCUCAAAAGUUUGAGCAUGAAAAAAUAAUUUGAAGGAAAUGGACUAUUUUUCUGGGAUAAAAAUAAAAACUGUUUUCUAUUCUUUUGAUUCAUUUUGAAAAAGUCUUUCUUUUAUCUUUUGAUGAUCAUAUGAAAAACAGCUAAUAUCAGGUAGGUAGGAAGUCUAAUCAAAAUUCUAUCUUUUGUUUUAUAUGUAAUAGAGAUAAUAUGAAGCUUUUUAUGGGUAUGUAUGCAUAGUCAAUGAAAAAGCAUUAUCUGAAUAAUUCAGGCAAAAGAAAAAAAAACAACAACAACCCAACAACCUCCCCCUCUGUAGCCUAUUAUGAGGUUGUAUUUUUAUACUAAAUUGUCUGAUGACUUGAGACCAUGCAUACUUGACUCUAGAUUUUCUGGAAAAUCACUGAAAAGCAACUAUGAGAGGAAAAAAAGGCUUCAGUUUGUGGUAAAACAGGAUGCAGAUACAAAAGUUGAAACAGGCAAUCAUUUUAACAGAAGGUAUCAUUGCAUUGCUGAUGUAAGCAUUUUGCAGUCAUUUUUGUAUAUGUCCUAUGUACAUGAUACCAUAGCAUGAGGUUGUUUGAUAUUAGCAUAAGGUGUUGCUAUAGUAACAGUGGCAUGAAUGUCUUGAUGGCACUUGUAGGAAGCAGACAUGAAUGAAUAUUUGGGAUUUUAUAUUCACUACAUAGCAAUAGAAGACAAUGUAAUAAAUACACUUAGUGAGCAAUUAGGGCAGCAUCAUAUUUAUCUGAAUAUUAUUAAUUAACCGGGAACUUUGCUCUUUUGACAAAACCUAAUGAAAAGAAGAAAUACAGUAUUAAUUAAUUUGUUUUUAAAAUGUUAAAGGUUGUUAAGGUUGAGAUUGAGUCAUCCAGAUAUGGUUUAGAAAAUGGCUUUGUUUUUUGCAGACAUCAAGCUUAUGUUAAAUAAUUUUAAAAUUAAAAAAACUUAGACCAAAUAUUCAGAGUGUUUGGUAUUACACUAAAACAUUUAGAAUGGAUUGCUGGUUGAUAACAGAAACUCCUUGAGAGCAAGGGCUGUUUGAUUUUUGUCUUUGUAUCUAAAGCACAAUGCAGUGCUUGACUCCCAACAGCCACUUAAAUGCUUUGUUAAAUCAAUGAAAGCAUUAAAGUGAGAAAUAUGACAAUGGUAGGUUCAAAGAUCUAUCAAUAAGAGUCAUGCAUCUUAAUAAACCCCACAGAAAUGCCUACCAAAUCUUCUGAAAAUGGAAUUUUCAAUGGUCUUUGCUUUGAUGAGAUUCAGUCAUUAUUUUAAGGUGAAUUUAACAGAUUCAUAGCAUUAUGAUUCUGCUUCUUUUGAUAGCUGUACUCUCAAUCUUCUCUGUGAUUUUUCAUAUCACACAAGUAGAUGCUAGUCGUGGUGUUUGAAGUAAUUACACACUGAAUUACUAUUUUUUUGGAAAGUGUAGGAGUAGUUGCUUCAUGUCAGUCUAUCAUUAUUACACAGAUAAUACUACAUACAUAAUAAGACAAUAUUAAAAAGAUUGAUUUUUGUAGUCAAAUGACUUGGCUAUUUUAAAUAAAAUCAAAGUUGAAUCCACCUCUAAGUUAUUUUCCUUAGUUAAGCAAAUGGUAUUUGGAUGAAAAAUUACUAACUUAUAAAAUCUAAAUUAAAAAUACGAAAUUGAUGAGAACUUUUAACAUGGAGACAUCUUAGACUUUGGUUUAAUGACUUGUACUGGACACAAAGAUUAAUAAUAAACUUGAGUAGAUGUGUGUCUACAUGAAGAACAGCUUUAACAUGAGCUAUUUUACAGAAUGUACUUUUAGCAAUACAGACAUUUUGCAACAUAAAAGGGUGACCAGGAUAUGUCUCAAAUAUGAAUGUCAGAUUGUUAAUUUAAGUUCAUAGUACUAAAGAUAAUAUAAAAAGCCUCUAACAUAUAAAAUAGUUUGAGGAAGGACUGCUUUUGCUCCUGAAGAAAUAGAUAUUUCUUUAUUGUAUUAAAAAGGAUAAAAGGAGAGGUUUUUUUUUUAAAAAAAUAAAACAAUAUUAAUCUUGGCCCUACUGAAGAAAAAAAAAGGAGAUUCGUAUUUAAUUCAAAAGGAAGAAAAAAUCUGUUCCACAUAUAAAAUAUUUUUUUACUCUAUGUUUAGGAAAAACACAGCAUGGAAUUAGUGGAUAUAGAGUUGGUUUUGGAAUUGUAAAGACUCCUAUGCAAAAUCUGCUUCUGCCUGGGCAAGUCCAGUAACUUCUUAAUGACACAGGUAACAGUCCAUAAAUUACAGAUUAGUUGCUAAUCUGCAUUAGUAGACAGAGGUCCCACAAAUAGGAGUUAUACAUACUGAUGAAAUCAGAGAUCUGGAUAAAAAGAAAUAAGAAAUCAUAUAGUUCAUAUCCAAUAUCUUUGGUUGAACCUCAUUUCACACUUCAUUAGCUUCUGUACUGUAUCUUGAAGAACAGCUAUGAAAGCAUCUAUUUUCCUUGGUUGAAAUGUUACAUUUAUCAAAUAUACUAGAAUUUUGUGAUAUCUUCAAUUGGGCAUUCUCUGACAUCUCAGAUACCACUCCUCAGUAAUGAUUUCUUUAUUAACCCCUCUCCCUCCUAUUUAAGAAACUAUUUAUCUUUGAAAAUCAGGUGUAUGGUGUAGAGACAGAAAAUUUGCCUUAUUUUUCCUGAGAACUAUUGUUCUUUUGCUAGCAACAAAAAUUGAGGAAAUCUAUCUUUACUCUUAUCAGGUCACUUUUAUGCUGUAUUCACAUAAGUCUCUUUAUCAUUUUUUCCUCUGUAAUCUGCUGUAAUCUUCAAUUCUCUCACAACCUCCCCACUCGUCAAUCUUGGGUUCUAAGUUGCUCUUCUGCAUAAAUCCAUUAUGCUCUAAUUUGUAAUGAGUGUUUCUUUAUUGAUAACUGUUCUAUGACCAAUAAGUGAGUGAUCUUUGUUGAGGGGUUUAGAGAAAUGAGAAGGAGGAGUGAUGAAGAAUGAAUUUAGAUAGGGAUCUUCUAAAGCAGUCCAGGAAGAAUUUGAUAGAAAGGAAAAGGUCACCAAAAUAUUAGUGGUCCGGUUCUGUAUGGAAACAUUAAUUGAGCUUCCCAAAUGUCUUUCCUAAUAGACUAGUACCAAUUAGGUAGAGGAUAAUUUUUUUUUCCCAUUGAAAAUACAUUAAAUCAAUUGGCAUUUUAGGACUUCCAUUCCCUAUUUCACUACACACACACACACACACACACACACACACACACACACACACACACAUAGUUUCAGGUUGAACAUUAGCAGCUGGAAACAUAUGCAGUUAAAUCUAAAGCUUAAUAUUAAAAAAAAAAGAAUGUUUCAGUGACUUAAUAGCAUUUCAUUACUACUAAAAAAACUUCUUUUAUACAUUUACUUCUGACUUGUUUAUGGUUUAAUAUCAUGAUGCUUUAAAUUUGCAUACAUUUUAAAAUUUGGAUAUCAUAAUGCAAAGAUAA
ensembl:lncRNA